GCAGAAAUGCCAGAGACUUAUAUGGGGUUGGUUUAGGACUAAUUUACGGUUCAAAUACCUUUUUGCU
rnacentral:tRNA from 1 species